AUAUGAUUUCCUUUUUUAUCGGUUUCCUUGCACAGUUUAGUCAGAGGUUCCCAAACAGUGGUUCUCAAUCGGUGUGUUACGACAUUCUAGAGUGCUGCAUAUUACUGUGAUAUGUAUCGUCAAAAAAGUUGUUUGUUUGUACGUAAAUAUCCAUGUCCUCAUUCAUAAUCACUAUGUUGUGAGCAUUGUGUAUGCCAUUUAAAUUCAUUAAUCAUUUUUAUGGAUCUAAAUUAGGGUGUCAUCAUA